UACGUAGGGACCAAGCGUUGUUCGGAUUUACUGGGCGUAAAGGGCGCGUAGGCGGCGUGGUAAGUCACUUGUGAAAUCUCUGAGCUUAACUCAGAACGGCCAAGUGAUACUGCUGUGCUAGAGUGCAGAAGGGGCAAUCGGAAUUCUUGGUGUAGCGGUGAAAUGCGUAGAUAUCAAGAGGAACACCUGAGGUGAAGACGGGUUGCUGGGCUGACACUGACGUGAGGCGCGAAAGCCAGGGGAGCAAACGGG
rnacentral:rRNA from 1 species